rnacentral:lncRNA from 1 species
AAUUUUAGGAUUAAGCGUUUCUCUACAUACAAAGCCUCACCAGGUAGUGAUGGAUAUGUAGCUUCACAUGCAGCAGAGAUAUGCCACAAAGCAAUGAGGACUAGUGGCUUAGACUGGAAUAAAGUCCUUCAAGCGCAGCAUACAGUGGUUCAGCCGCCUUUGGCCGGUCCACUGUCCCAAGAAGAAUGUCUGCCGUAGUCAAAUAAGGAUCCCCAUAAAACCGUAGAUUGGUAUCCAUCCUUGUCGCAACAAUGUUCCCUUCCAGCGACACUCCAACGAAAGCCCCUGAUAAUUUUGCAGCAAUAUAUGGUGUUACUAAAUCUCCCAAAACUUAACUUCUGGGAAUAAAGAUGAAAGCUACCUCCUUACCUACAGUAAUUUGAAAUCUCAACCACAUGCCUUGUUUAAACUUUACAUGACACAUUGAGAUAUAACUUGGACCUUUUUUGAUAAGGAGAUAUAAUUUGGAUUAAAACAAGACUAUCUUAUUUUACCUCUCUUUUAUUCCUAACAAGUACCCAGCAGAAUGGGUCAUACAUCAAGUAUUUCACAUAAAAUGUAAUAUUCUAAAAGCCAGCAUCUAGCCAAGCAAAUCCAAUUUUCAUAACUUGCUGUUCUUACACAAUGGCGGUUCACAUAUUGACCAUGAAGGCAUGUAGUGGUAAUCCAAAAUAAGCAUAUUUCAGCACUAUACAGAAAUAUCUAGCAGGUUUUAAGAUAAAUUUCAAAUUUUAUGUAGAACAGAGUGCUCGGUCUGUUCUCAAAUUCAAGAAUACCCCAAGGACUGCUCUUCCAGUGAUGAAUUUGAACUGUCCCGAAAUCUCAAAUUUUUAUGAGGAAAUUUUUAACUAUGUCAGACAAUCACAAAGAGAAGGCAACUGGCUAUGGUAAUUCAUAAAGCAGAAUCCUAAGAGAUGUAGCCAAAGCCAUUCAGGAAACAAUACCUUUGCUACAACUGUAAGUAUAGCACAUGCCAGAACCUCUCUCUCCAGCACGAAGAUCUGCUUCCAGCACUCUCCCAAUAGGCCCUGCUGCAGCACUGCAACCAGCACCAAGAGAAAAAUGCAAUCGACUGCAAAACGUUUUUACAGCUUUUGAAUCAUGGAGCACAACUAUGAAGUCCAUGAGCUCCCCCCCAAUCUAGAGAACCAAAAGACAAGAAACAAAAUUUAUUACCAGAACAAAAUAUUCAAAGGAAUAUACAAAAUAAAUUGAUAUAAAUAACUCAUAGUGGAACCUCUUUCAGUUAGUAAAACACAUGUGAAUUUACCUGAGCGCCCCAUCCUAAACCAACUGAUAAUAUAGCUGAUGGAGCAGACCAGGAACCAUCUGACCUUCUAGCAACAACCAAACCAGUGCCAAGUUUGUAAGAAACUAGUACACCAGCUUUAGCAACUGUUAGAAUUGCCAGACCCUUGGCCCCGUUCAGAACCGCUAAGGGUAUUGAUCUCUCAGGAUUUGACUCCGCAACCUGUUCAUACCAACAAAUACUAUCAGAAUGCUUCAUAACAACAUCAAACAGAAACAUGGCUCUCAUAAUAUACUGAGAGAAGUGUAGUUAUCUUUGUAUGCUGAAGCACCAAAGAUUUUAACAAGAAAGAAACUUCCAACGCAAAAACCAAACUCCCAAGCGGGAAACUCAUCGUAAGUUCAAACAACUUUGCACUAAACAAGACAUUCAUAGUAAUUAAACUUUGAUGAAAUCAAAAUUCACCUGGCAGUAGCUUCUCAAUGUAUUAGAGGCCUUAUAUAUCUCAUAUUCCAUUGACAAACCAACUGGAAGGUUCAGCCAUCCCCUUGUACAUGUCCAAUCCACCACAUCAUGUUUUGCCGCUUGCACAGCAUUGCUAAUUGUAUUAAUAAGAACACCUUGUAAAGGAUCAAGUCUAUCAUAACAAGCAUCACACACCCUUUGUGGAUUCCGCUCUCUA